GUCCUCGCUUGCAAUAGUUUGGAGACAAAGUUUUGCUAUUUCAACAAUUUCACUCAAUUUACACAAUCCAAUUCCCAUUCUAGAACAUAAACCAUUACACUUUCAAUUUCAAAAUUUCAUUCUUACAAAAAUUAUACACAAAUCACUCAAUUUCCAACCUUACAUUCAUUUUUACAACAUACUGUCAUACUUCAAUCCAUAUCCCAUUUAAACCAAAUUUCGUACAUAUAUUAUACAAACGUACACCCGAUCCCAAUCCGUAUGACAUAUAACUCCAAACUUACAUUAGUUACAAAAAUUACAACACCAACACUAGCUAAUGCAACUAAUUUCAACACUUCAUCACCCUAACCCUUUCUCUGAUCAAGAAAAUUUAAUUGGGUUGGUGGAUGCCAUUUUCCCUCUUUUGUCUGAUGCGAACUGCAAGGUUCCUGUCGUCGCCAAGCCUGCAUCAAACCAUGGCCACCAACCCAUUAAAAAAUGAAGCAAAGCCAUGCCUGCAGAGCUUUCAUUUAGCCUACAUUUGA
rnacentral:lncRNA from 1 species